rnacentral:rRNA from 1 species
UAUGUAGGGGGCAAGCGUUGUCCGGAUUUAUUGGGCGUAAAGAGCGUGUAGGCGGCCAUUCAGGUCAGCUGUGAAAACUCGAGGCUCAACCUCGAGACGUCGGUUGAAACCGUUUGGCUAGAGUCCGGAAGAGGAGAGUGGAAUUCCCGGUGUAGCGGUGAAAUGCGCAGAUAUCGGGAAGAACACCCGUGACGAAGGCGGCUCUCUGGGACGGUACUGACGCUGAGACGCGAAAGCGUGGGGAGCGAACAGG